UACGAAGGUGGCGAGCGUUGUUCGGAAUCAUUGGGCGUAAAGGGCGCGUAGGCGGGCUUGUAAGUCGGUUGUGAAAUCCCUAGGCUUAACCUGGGAAUUGCAUUCGAAACUGCAAGUCUUGAGUUCUCGAGAGGAUGGUGGAAUUCCUGGAGUAGUAGUGAAAUACGUAGAUAUCAGGAGGAACACCGGAGGCGAAGGCGGCCAUCUGGCGAGACACUGACGCUAAGGCGCGAAAGCGUGGGUAGCAAACAGG
rnacentral:rRNA from 1 species